UGCGAUAAGCGAUGUGAUAUGCGAGUCCCAAACUGAUACGUGAACCAUCGGAUCGUCGAACGCACUGCACCGAGGAUUGCCCAUCCACGGUAUACCACAUUGAGUGUCAUUAUUCGUUCGUCUCUGACGAGUUCGGGGUCCACGGCCUUGCCGCGUUCCCUCAGAUCGAAGUCUAUGGCGUCAACCUGACCUUGCUGGUGUCGGUCGAGCCCCCUUUGACUGAGUUCACUGGGUACGCUCCGUCUGCAUCACGGGUCGGUCUGACCGGGACGCUUGCGUCCAAUCAUUCUCUAAUGAUGACCUCACGGUGGUAAGAUUACCCGCUAAACUUAAGCAUAUUAAUCAGCGGAGGAAAAGAAACUAACAAGGAUUCCCUUAGUAACUGCGAGUGAACAGGGAUGAGCUCAAUGUGUGAAUCUUACCGUCCUCRUGGGUGGUUGAGAGUUGUGCACUAUGAACGUUGUGUCUGCGCUUGCAGGCCGGUGGCCAAAGUCCGGAAGGAUACGGCACUAGAGAGGGUUAUAGUCCUGUUCUCGCCAUCCGGUCCUGUGCGUCUAUGACCAGCGCUUCUCGAGUCGGAUAGUUUUGUAUUGCUGUCCCAAUGGGAGGUUGAUCCCUUCCAAAGCUAAAUAUUUAUGG
rnacentral:rRNA from 1 species